rnacentral:misc_RNA from 1 species
UAGACCCUGGAUUUACAACACUAGGUAGGCUUCUUGAACAUUUUUAGUUGGGCUUUGUCUUUUAGGUGCCUCAAACCAAUUGUUUGAACUUGUGCUGAUUUAACAUUUUCCAUAUGCUAUUCUUAGCUAAAAUAAUGUAUGUAAGAUUUUCCAUAAUAGACAUCUCCCAAACCGUAUCUUGAUUUUUCAGCAAUAAUUAACCAUUAACCUAAUUAUUCUUGUGGUGAACCAUUGGCAGUUAUUUUAUUUGUUGAACAUUCUAGAAAGUACCAGCAACAAAUUGAUCUUAUUUUCUUUUUUCUACAUUCAAGUAUCCUACGCUGAUAUUUUCCUUCAAUAUUCUUCCAUUUGAUUUUUAGUAUGGCAGAAA